rnacentral:rRNA from 1 species
UACGGGGGGGGCAAGCGUUGUUCGGAAUUACUGGGCGUAAAGGGCUCGUAGGCGGCCAACUAAGUCAGACGUGAAAUCCCUCGGCUUAACCGGGGAACUGCGUCUGAUACUGGUUGGCUUGAGUGUGGGAGAGGGAUGCGGAAUUCCAGGUGUAGCGGUGAAAUGCGUGGAUAUCUGGAGGAACACCGGUGGCGAAGGCGGCAUCCUGGACCAUUACUGACGCUGAGGAGCGAAAGCCAGGGGAGCAAACGGG